AUGAUGCAGGGAACUCAGAUUAUGUUUUCCGGGUACGACACCCUUGAAUGUAAGCAGUAGGCUGUGGGGAGAGGAUCCUGACAUAUUUUGGGAUGAAAGGUUUCAGGUAGAGGGAGUGAGGAGGAGAGAACGACUUUGCUUGCUUCUGAUGGUGUUCUAUGUGUUCUUGCUGUCUUUGUUAUUAUUCGUUCCCAAAAGACCUUCCCAACGCUACUGUCAUAGGCAAGGUAGUAGAAGGCAAACUGAAAAUUAAAUGUUUAGCCCUUUGGUUGCUCCCUGUGAGCGGCCAGGGGCAUGCUCUUUCUCUGUGGUGUGAAAUACUAAUUUAUUCAAUGAAAGAGGGGUAAGCUGUGUAUUUUCAGCACAGGGUAAGCAUUUACUUAGGAGCAGGCACCAUUCGACAUGCUGUAAUUUCACAUCCUACCUCAUUUUCAUGGUAACGUUCACCUCAGAGCGCACCCUCUGCUCUUUAUGUACAGAAAACAUAACACCCAGCAGCCCUUCUCUGUGUCUCAAGGGCCACUUUUAAGAGCUCCCAGUUACCAAGACUGGAGUCCCUUUGGUUUUUAACUCUGCUGGCAUCAGUGAGGCUGGACUGAUGCUAAGCCAGAGCAAUGCUGCUGUGAGUCAAGCUUUUGCCCUCCUAAGCUGUCAUUUAAUGUCCUGGCUUGACUUUGCCUUGUCUUGUUUCAAUUACAAAGCCGGAGUGGGAUGGGAACAUGUAUUUAUCUCUGUCCUGUAAUGGACACACACACUCAGGGCACUCCAUCAGUGCUGUGUCGUUGGUGUUUGUUCAGGAUUGACAGAACAUUCAGUGCCUGAGCACAAGGACAGCUCCUGGCUUGAGGAACUGGUCUGCUUUCACAGUGCAGCUGUGGUAGCCCCAGCUCUACAAUCACUGCAUCUGGCAGUAAAGUCAAGCUGUGGCGCUGCUUUCUUUUCUCCUCGGCCUUAUGAUCCAUGGUUGAUCUCCAAACUUCCUGGUUUUAAACCUCAGAACUGAAGGUCUUCAUCAGGAAUAUUCCUAGAGGUAGAAGCAUAAUUGUCCAAUAAGAACAAACCAUUGGGUAAAUGGUGUGUUAUUAUCAAAAGAUGGUAAUUCUAUAGGAUGACCAUGUGAUAUGAAUGAGUAAUGCAUUAAAAGUAUGUAAAGUUAUGGUCUCAGGCUCAAGAUCCACAGCACAAAAUAAAAUGAAAAUCAACACUUUAAUAUUCAACACGCCCCCCAGGAUUUGUGAGUAUUUAAUGAAAAUUAGACUUCUCUUGACUCAUGUCAUGAAUCACCAAUACACAACUUAGUCCUUAAGCUGUGGUAUAACCAUGCUUAAAACACACUGUAAACAUGACAUAAGUUGCUUAAUGAGACUAUUCAAAUGAGUAACAUUCCUCACAGCUUCAAUUCUUGUGGGAUCAGGGUCUUGUAUGGCAGAUUGAACUGGUUUUCUCAAAUCCCGGAAGCACCAAAAGUAGUCUGAAUUUCAUUAAAGAAAUAUGCAUCAACACAGAAAAACAGUGUAUGAAAUUCUUUGAAACCUUUGGUGCCAAAUUAAAAGCCAGGCAUGCUUAAAAACCA